CGUUUCAGACAGAAGCAAAGACGCUUUGACUGUGGGACUGGUAUUCCAGGCUGAAAAAACCAAGUGUUUCAGGCUAUUAAGAAAAAGAGGAGGGAUGGAGAAACAUUUGAUUGUUGUAUUAAUUUUCUCUCUUCACCUGAGCUGUGUGAACAGUGAAGACCUGGUCAAGCAGAGCCCACAGACCUUGACAAUUCAAGAGGGAGAAAAUGUUUCCUUCCAUUGUAAUUAUUCAAGCUCAAGUUCAGAUUACCUGCAUUGGUACAGGCAGGAUGUAAGGAAAAGUCUGGUGAAUUUAUUUAUUUUGUUUUCAAAUGGGGAGAUGAAGCAGAAUGGAAGAUUAAGAGCCACUCUGAAUACCAAGGACCGGCACAGCUCCCUGCACAUCACUGCCUCCCAACUAGAAGACUCAGCCACCUACCUAUGUGCAAAGCACAGUGCUUCCUGGGCAUCUGAAACCUGUGCACAAUCCCUGCACCUGGGUGCUGCCUCCCUCCCUGCCACGGGGACUCCAACAUCGAGGUUUAAUUUACAUGCAGGCUCUUCAAAGAAGUAUAAUGUUCUCCUUGGUUCGGUUUUCUGGAGGUCUCUGGGAACAGCCUUCCUUUCAGUCCAGUACAGCCUGGUGUUAAAGUCCAAAUCCUUUAUUAUCUUCUUUCCUGAUGAUGGGCAGUUUUCUGAAGAGCCUUUUGGUCUGGCCUUGGCUCAGUGA